rnacentral:snRNA from 1 species
GUGCUCACGUUGGCAGCACACUAAAAUUGGAACAAUGCAAAGAUUAGCUUGGCUCCUGUGCAAGGAUGACACUCAAAUCUGUGAAGUAGUCCAUAUUUUU